UACGAAGGGGGCUAGCGUUGCUCGGAAUCACUGGGCGUAAAGGGUGCGUAGGCGGGUCUUUAAGUCAGGGGUGAAAUCCUGGAGCUCAACUCCAGAACUGCCUUUGAUACUGAAGAUCUUGAGUUCGGGAGAGGUGAGUGGAACUGCGAGUGUAGAGGUGAAAUUCGUAGAUAUUCGCAAGAACACCAGUGGCGAAGGCGGCUCACUGGUCCAUUACUGACGCUGAGGUGCGAAAGCGUGGGGGAGCAAACAGG
rnacentral:rRNA from 1 species